rnacentral:rRNA from 1 species
AGUCUGGUGCCAGCAGCCGCGGUAAUUCCAGCUCCAAUAGCGUAUAUUAAAGUUGUUGCAGUUAAAACGCUCGUAGUCGGAUUUCGGGGCAGGUUUGCCGGUCUGCCGAUGGGUAUGCACUGGUAGAACUGUCCUUCCUUCCGGAGACGGCGCCUACUCUUAACUGAGCGGGUGUCGGAGACGGAUCGUUUACUUUGAAAAAAUCAGAGUGUUUCAAGCAGGCAGCUCGCUUUUGCAUGGAUUAGCAUGGGAUAAUGAAAUAGGACUUUGGUGCUAUUUUGUUGGUUUCGAACACCGAAGUAAUGAUUAACAGGGACAGUCAGGGGCACUCGUAUUCCGCCGAGAGAGGUGAAAUUCUUAGACCAGCGGAAGACGAACCACUGCGAAAGCAUUUGCCAGGGAUGUUUUCACUGAUCAAGAACGAAAGUUAGGGGAUCGAAGACGAUCAGAUACCGUCGUAGUCUUAACCAUAAACCAUGCCGACUAGGGAUUGGAGGAUGUUCCUAUGUGACUCCUUCAGCACCUUUCGGGAAACUAAAGUCUUUGGGUUCCGGGGGGAGUAUGGUCGCAAGGCUGAAACUUAAAGGAAUUGACGGAAGGGCACCACCAGGAGUGGAGCCGGCGGCUUAAUUUGACUCAACACGGGGAAACUUACCAGGUCCAGACAUUGUGAGGAUUGACAGAUUGAGAGCUCUUUCUUGAUUCGAUGGGUGGUGGUGCAUGGCCGUUCUUA